GUGCGUUUUUUUUUUUUUUUUUUUUUUUUUUCUGGAGAAAUGGGAAUGCUUCUAUUUAUACUCAACACACAGAAGAGUCUAUCGAGUUUUGAUUUGUGUAUUGGUUAGAAUAUUCAAUUGUUUCACUAUUUGGAACUGAGUGUUGUAUAUUGAGGUCAUGUUCGUUAUAAGCAUUAGCAUUAUUGUUAUUAUGUACUAAAGCUUCUUCGUUAUCCUCUUUAUCAUUUUUAAGUGAUAUGGUAUGAUGGAAAUAUGUGUUUUCUCGGGCAUAUAUAAUUUGUUGUAUGUCGUUAAUAAGAAUGUAAUUUUCAUCAGUUUGGUUACAUAAUAAUUCUAAAAAUCUUAAUUUAUUAUAAUAAAAAUUUUUUUGAAAAUGUAAUAUUUUUUUUUCACAUUCUUCUUCUUGUAAUUUAUUUUGAAACAUUAAAAUUUCUUGAUUUUUAUUUUCUAAUUGAGUUUUUAAUUUUUUAGUUUGUUCUAUUAAUAAAUUUAUUUCUUUUCGACUAUCUAAUGUAUUAUUUUUAGUUUGGUAAUUGGAUAGUGAUCCUCUACCAACUGUUUUAUUAGAUGCCGACGACCUUUUAUUACUAUUACUAUUGUUAAUAUUAUUAUUGUUAAUAUUAUUAUUGUUAAUAUUAUUAUUGUUAAUAUUAUUAUUAUUAUCACUAUUAACAAUAUUAAUGUUAUGGUUGUUAAUAACAGAUCGACUAGUAUUAAUUAGAAUUCGCUCCUUUAAUGUAUUAGAAUCUAAUUUAGCCCACUCAGGUAAAUAAUUAUUUAACAUUUUAUAAUCCCCUUUUUCUCCUAACAAAGCAACUUUUCUUCUUUCUAUUGGAUCAUAAUUUAUAACUUGUUCAUUGUUAUAAUCUAUAACUCUUUCAAAAAAACCUUUAAACCAUUGUAAAAAUUCUAAAUUGUCUUGAUAUUUUCCUUUUAUUAAUUUAUCUACAUCCAUAUAUUUUUUACUCCUAAUUUAUUAAAUGUACUUUGAAUUAAUUUAUAAUUCAUUAUACAUUCAUAUUCUAAUUUAACAUUCCAUUUUGCUUUACUCAAAACAGAUUUGUUAGGAAAUAGCAUAUCUAAUAAUUGAAUAUAAACUGCACCAUUUGAACAUUGUUCUACUUUUGUUAUAUUUAAUCUUAAUAAUCCGUUAACCCAUUCAAUCAAUUCUUUUCUACUUACAAAAAAAGCUAGGUCCAUAUUACCCAAAGAUGAAACUUCUCUUCCUUCACUCAUCGUUAACUCUUUUUAUACGUGUGGCUAUAUAUGUACAUAUUUACACACACACACAUAUA
rnacentral:lncRNA from 1 species